AUGACAAAAGAAGAGACUUUCUUCGCCAAAGUAGUCAGGGUUUCCUGCUUCAACAGUGCUUGGACGGAACCUGGCGCUUGUCCCCCACCCAGGCCGGCUGCCCAUAAGCAGCCCUCUGUCACCACUUCACCACGCCCUCAGACCACCCCAAGGCCCCCGCCGCGGCUCCAGCACCGCGUGGCCACCUCUUCUUAGUCGCUGCCAUGACGACCACGUCCACCUGGCAGGUGUGCCAGAACUACCACCAGGACUCAGAGGCCGCCAUCAACUGCCAGAUCAACCUGGAGCUCUACACCUCCUAGGUUUACCUGUCCAUGUCUUACUACUUUGACCUCGAUGAUGUGGCUUUGAAGAACUUUGCCAAAUACUUUCUUCACCAAUCUCAUGAGGAGAGGGAACACGCUGAGAAACUGAUGAAGCUGCAGAACCAACUAGGUGGCUGAAUUUUCCUUCAGGAUAUCAAGAAACCAGACUAUGAUGACUGGGAGAGUGGGCUAAAUGUGAUAGACUGUGCAUUACAUUUGGAAAAAAAUGUGAAUCAGUCACUACUGGAAUUGCACAAACUGGCCACUGACAAAAAUGACCCCCAUUUGUGUGACUUUAUUGAGACACAUUACCUGAAUGAGCAGGUGAAAGCCAUCAAAGAAUUGGGUGACCACGUGACCAACUUGCACAAGAUGGGAGCACCCGAAUCUGGCUUGGCAGAAUAUCUCUUUGACAAGCACACCCUGGGAGACAGUGAUAAGGAAAGCGAAGCCUCAGGCUAA